ACUGCUACACAUGAUCCAUGAGGACUGGCAGAUACUCUGCGAUAGGUUUUCGUCUGAUUCUUUUCAAAAGAGGAGCAAAAUAAAUUCUGCCAACAGGGAAAAGUUAGAAGUGAACCACGUAGCUGGUUCAAAGUCAUUUGUACGACUUCGUCACGACAUGCGAGAUUCCGUCACUAGUCAGGAGCCCGGACCAGUAGACUUAUACAGAGGGACUCACUGUCAGCAGGCGUCGGGAUCUUGGGUACAUCCUAGAGCCAGCAAGAUUUGGG